CACGCCUUAAACGAUGAGUGCUAGACGUCGGAUGCUUGUCAUUCGGUGUCGCAGCUAACGCGUUAAGCACUCCGCCUGGGGAGUACGGUCGCAAGAUUAAAACUCAAAGGAAUUGACGGGGACCCGCACAAGCGGUGGAGCAUGUGGUUUAAUUCGAAGCAACGCGCAGAACCUUACCAACCCUUGACAUGGGGAUCGAGGAUUUCAGAGAUGAUUUCCGUCAGUUCGGCUGGAUCCCGCACAGGUGC
rnacentral:rRNA from 1 species